AUUGAACGCUGGCGGCAGGCCUAACACAUGCAAGUCGAACGAGUGGCGGACGGGUGAGUAAUGUCUGGGAAACUGCCCGAUGGAGGGGGAUAACUACUGGAAACGGUAGCUAAUACCGCAUACCAUCGGAUGUGCCCAGAUGGGAUUAGCUUGUAGGUGGGGUAAAGGCUCACCUAGGCGACGAUCCCUAGCUGGUCUGAGAGGAUGACCCGCCAAACUGGAACUGGGAAACGGUCCAGACUCCUACGGGAGGCAGCAGUGGGGAAUAUUGCAAAAUGGGCGCAAGCCUGAUGCAGCCAUGCCGCGUGUAUGAAGAAGGCCUUCGGGUUGUAAAGUACUUUCAGGGGGGAGGCGUUACCCGGAGAAGGAGCACCGGCUAACUCCGUGCCAGCAGCCGCGGUAAUUC
rnacentral:rRNA from 1 species